rnacentral:rRNA from 1 species
GACAGAGGAGCCAAGCGUUGUCCGGACUGACUGGGCGUAAAGCGCCCGCAGGCGGCCGUGCGCGUGGGGUGUGAAAGCUCGCGGCUUAACUGCGAGAGGCCAUCCCAUACGGCACGGCUCGAGCCGUCCAGAGGCCGGUGGAAUUGCCGGUGUAGUGGUGAAAUGCGUAGAGAUCGGCAGGAACACCCAGGGGGAAACCAGCCGGCUGGGGGACGAGCUGACGCUCAGGGGCGAAAGCGUGGGGAGCGAACCGGG